rnacentral:rRNA from 1 species
AGUGAACGCUGGCGGUAGGCCUAACACAUGCAAGUCGAACGGCAGCACAGUAAGAGCUUGCUCUUACGGGUGGCGAGUGGCGGACGGGUGAGGAAUACAUCGGAAUCUACUUUUUCGUGGGGGAUAACGUAGGGAAACUUACGCUAAUACCGCAUACGACCUACGGGUGAAAGCAGGGGAUCUUCGGACCUUUCGCGAUUGAAUGAGCCGAUUUCGGAUUAGCUAGUUGGCGGGGUAAAUGCCCACCAAGGCGACGAUCCGUAGCUGGUCUGAGAGGAUGAUCAGCCACACUGGAACUGAGACACGGUCCAGACUCCUAAGGGAGGCAGCAGUGGGGAAUAUUGGACAAUAGGCGCAAGCCUGAUACAGCCAUACCGCGUGGGUGAAGAAGGCCUUCGGGUUGUAAAGACCUUUUGUUGGGAAAGAAAAGCAGCAGGUUAAUACCCCGCUGUUCUGACGGUACCCAAAGAAUAAGCACCGGCUAACUUCGUG